rnacentral:rRNA from 1 species
UACGAAGGGGGCUAGCGUUGCUCGGAAUCACUGGGCGUAAGGGUGCGUAGGCGGGUCUUUUAAGUCAGGGGUGAAAUCCUGGAGCUCAACUCCAGAACUGCCCUUGAUACUGGCGGUCUCGAGUCCGGGAGAGGUGAGUGGAACUGCGAGUGUAGAGGUGAAAUUCGUAGAUAUUCGCAAGAACACCAGUGGCGAAGGCGGCUCACUGGCCCGGUACUGACGCUGAGGUGCGAAAGCGUGGGGAGCAAACAGG